rnacentral:rRNA from 1 species
UAUAAUUAAUAUUAGUUUUAAUUUUAAGUUAUUAAAUGUUAAAUCAUUAAAUUUAAAAGAUUUGGCGGUAUUUUAAAUAAUUAGAGGAACCUGUAUAGUAAUUGAUAAUCCACAAUAAGAAUAACUUAAUUAAAAAUUUAUGUAUUGCUGUUUUUAGAUUAUUAUUAAUUAAAUUUUUAAAUUUUUAAAUUUUAAUUUAAUUCAAGUCAAAAUAUAGUUUAUUUAAGAAUUAAUAUGGGUUACAAUUUUUUUUAUAGUGGAUUGAAUUAAUUUGAAUUAUUUUUGAAAUAGGAUUUAAUAGUAAAUUUAAUAAAUUAAUUAUUUUGAAAUAAAAAUAAAAUAAGU